GGUGGAUGCCUUGGCAAUUGGAGGCGACGAAGGACGUACUAACUUGCGAAAAGCUAUGGUGAGCCAGUAAGAGGCACUUGAGCCAUAGAUGUCCGAAUGGGGAAACCCGGCCCGAAUGGGUCAUCUUGCACUGAAUACAUAGGUGUAAGAGGCAAACGCGGAGAACUGAAACAUCUAAGUACCCGCAGGAAAAGAAAUCAACCGAGAUACCCUGAGUAGCGGCGAGCGAAAGGGGUUUAGCCCUAAAGACUUUAUUGAUUUAGUGGAAUGUGUUGGAAAGCACAGCGAUACAGGGUGAUAGCCCCGUACACGACAUUGAAAUAGAGUUGAAACGAGUAGGUCGGAACACGUGAUAUUCUGACUGAAGAUGGGGGGACCAUCCUCCAAG
rnacentral:rRNA from 1 species